rnacentral:rRNA from 2 species
CGGGAGGCAGCAGUAGGGAAUCUUCCACAAUGGACGAAAGUCUGAUGGAGCAACGCCGCGUGAGUGAUGAAGGUUUUCGGAUCGUAAAACUCUGUUGUUAAAGAAGAACAAGUGUUAGAGUAACUGUUAACACUUUGACGGUAUUUAACCAGAAAGCCACGGCUAACUACGUGCCAGCAGCCGCGGUAAUACGUAGGUGGCAAGCGUUGUCCGGAUUUAUUGGGCGUAAAGCGAGCGCAGGCGGUUUUGUAAGUCUGCUGUGAAAGCCCUCAGCUCAACUGAGGAAGUGCAGUGGAAACUACAAAACUUGAGUACAGAAGAGGAAAGUGGAACUCCAUGUGUAGCGGUGAAAUGCGUAGAUAUAUGNAAGAACACCAGUGGCGAAGGCGGCUUUCUGGUCUGUUACUGACGCUGAGGCUCGAAAAGCAUGGGUAGCGAACAGGAUUAGAUACCCUGGGUAGUCCAUGCCGUAAAACGAUGAAUACUAGGUGUUGGAGGGUUUCCGCCCNUUCAGUGCCGCAGCUAACGCAUUAAGUAUUCCGCCUGGGGAGUACGACCGCAAGGUUGAAACUCAAAGGAAUUGACGGGGGCCCGCACAAGUGGUGGAGCAUGUGGUUUAAUUCGAUGCUACGCGAAGAACCUUACCAGCUCUUGACAUCUUCUGCCAACCCAAGAGAUUGGGCGUUCCCUUCGGGGACAGAAUGACAGGUGGUGCAUGGUUGUCGUCAGCUCGUGUCGUGAGAUGUUGGGUUAAGUCCCGCAACGAGCGCAACCCUUAUUAUUAGUUGCCAGCAUUUAGUUGGGCACUCUAGUGAGACUGCCGGUGAUAAACCGGAGGAAGGUGGGGACGACGUCAAAUCAUCAUGCCCCUUAUGAGCUGGGCUACACACGUGCUACAAUGGAUGGUACAACGAGUCGCGAAACCGCGAGGUCAAGCUAAUCUCUUAAAGCCAUUCUCAGUUCGGAUUGCAGGCUGCAACUCGCCUGCAUGAAGUUGGAAUCACUAGUAAUCGUGGAUCAGCAUGCCANCGGUGAAUACGUUCCCGGGCCUUGUACACA